CCCAGGCCUGCUCGGGCCCACCUCGUCGGAGACGAGCAGGAACCGCCUCCUCUUCUUUGCAUAUCGGCGAAGUGUAGUUCUCAAGAGCAUUGUGGGGCCGGUUGCUGCCCGAAUCUCUCUAGGGAAUGGGACCGAGUUGGGGACCCAGACUCCCUGGCCUUCAUGGCCACAGUCCUGUCGCCGCCCCACCAAAAGCCAAUCUCUAACAGCCCAGACACGUUUCGGACCGGGACCCACGCACAGGCCCCUCCCCGGUCUUGGAAGGCCCUUCCUCUGAGAACAAAGAGAUGUUGGGCCAGAUCAUCUUCCACGCUUCUUCAGCUCCGAGAUAGGAACGCGGUCCCCCACCACUCACAGGCCGGCUGCUCCUCACCCAUCCGGUCUCACUGGGACGCCACGUUCCUCAGGGAAGAAUCUGGAACGAUGAAGGUGAUGAUUGUGCCUGUGGCCAAGACCGGGAGAACCCUGGAUCCCUACACCUUCCCCACCCCUGGAAUGUCACUAUACAUAUCUGACUUCUUCUGAUGUUGCCUUUGACCCUAAAGUCAAUAUGAUAAAGUAACAAGAAGCUGGGACAGAGGAACAAACACAGCCCACUCAAGCAGUGGUGGCAACAUUCUGUUAGAAAGGAGGGGAGUCAAAGAAAAAAACACCCCUCCGCCCAUCUCCUUAUCACCUCCCUAAAGACAGAGGAGAACAUGGACACCCUCCAUCCUGAUAGACAUGCCAUGUGGUCAGUUUGUGCGGU
ensembl:lncRNA novel transcript